rnacentral:rRNA from 1 species
UUUAACUGAGCGUUCAGUUACUUGACGUAGACCCGAAACCGGGCGACCUACCCAUGAGCAGGAUGAAGCGAAAGUAAAAUUUCGUGGAGGUCCGAACCCACGAGCGUUGAAAAGCUCGGGGAUGACUUGUGGGUAGCGGUGAAAUUCCAAUCGAGCCCGGAGAUAGCUGGUUCUCCCCGAAAUAGCUUUAGGGCUAGCCUCAAGGUGAGAGAUACGGAGGUAGAGCACUGAAUGUCCUAGGGGGUAUUGCACCUACCGAAGACUAUCAAACUCCGAAUGCCGUCAUCUUAUACUUGGGAGUCAGACUGUGGGUGAUAAGAUUCAUAGUCGAAAGGGCAACAGCCCAGAUCGUCAGCUAAGGUCCCUAAAUGUAAGUUAAGUGGUAAAGGAUGUGGGAUUGCACAGACAACCAGGAUGUUGGCUUAGAAGCAGCCACUCAUUCAAAGAGUGCGUAAUAGCUCACUGGUCGAGUGAUCCUGCGCCGAAGAUUUCCGGGGCUAAAACUUACUACCGAAGCUACGGCAUCAGUAAUGAUGGGUAGGGGAGCUUCCCAUACGGGUUGAAGCAUGACCGUAAGGACAUGUGGACAGUAUGGGAGUGAGAAUGUUGGCAUGAGUAGCGAGAUGUGGGUGGGAAUCCCACAGGCCGUAAACCCAAGGUUUCCAGGGGAAGGUUCGUCCGCCCUGGGGUAGUCGGGACCUAAGCUGAGGCCGAAAGGCGUAGGUGAUGGACAACAGGUUGAUAUUCCUGUACUACCGAUAACCGGGUUAGAGAAGGGAUGACACAGUAGGCUAAGCUAGGCACACUGUUGGUUAUGUUUGCCCAAGCAUUGAGGCAGUCAAAGUAGGCAAA